rnacentral:rRNA from 1 species
UACGUAGGGGGCAAGCGUUGUCCGGAAUCAUUGGGCGUAAAGAGCGUGUAGGCGGUCCGGUAAGUCCGCUGUGAAAGUCAAGGGCUCAACCCUUGAAUGCCGGUGGAUACUGUCGGACUAGAGUCCGGAAGAGGCGAGUGGAAUUCCUGGUGUAGCGGUGAAAUGCGCAGAUAUCAGGAGGAACACCGAUGGCGAAGGCAGCUCGCUGGGACGGUACUGACGCUGAGACGCGAAAGCGUGGGGAGCAAACAGGAUUAGAUACCCCCGUAGUCC